rnacentral:tRNA from 1 species
GGGGGUGUUGCUCAGUGGUAUAGCAUGUUAUUACCAUGCACGAGACCCUGGGUUCAUCCCAGCACCCCUA